rnacentral:rRNA from 1 species
AUUGAACGCUGGCGGCAGGCCUAACACAUGCAAGUCGAGCGGAGCGGCGGACGGGGGAGUGAUGCCUAGGAAUGUGCCUGGUAGUGGGGGAUAACGUACGGAAACGGGCGCUAAUACCGCAUACUAGCAGAUGAGCCUGGGUUGGAUUAGCUAGUUGGUGGGGUAAGGGCAUACCAAGGCGACGAUCCGUAACUGGUCUGGGAGGAUGAUCAGUCACACUGGAACUGAUACACGGUCCAGACUCCUACGGUAGGCAGCAGUGGGGAAUAUUGGACAAUGGGCGAAAGCCUGAUCCAGCCAUGCCGCGUGUGUGAAGAAGGUCUUCGGAUUGUAAAGCACUUUAAGUUGGGAGGCGUUACCAACAGAAUAAGCACCGGCUAACUUCGUGCCAGCCGCCGCGGUAAUUC